rnacentral:misc_RNA from 1 species
AAAUCUCAACCUUCUCGGUUUCUUCUGGAAACCGAAGGAGGCUUGGACCUUGGAGGCCUUUGCUGGUGUCUCUUUUGAAGGCCAGCUCCUCUCAAAUGAAUUAGCGGGGUCCUCUUUGCCGAUCCUCGACGUGUGAUAAGAUGUUUCCAUGUCUUGGUUUCUGGCUCUGUUGCUUUUGGGACCCGCUUCUAACCGUCUCGACAGAGACAAUGUUUGAGCGUGUCUCCCUUCUCGGGAAACACUCUCGAGCCCACAAAAC